rnacentral:misc_RNA from 1 species
GAUGAAGAACGUAGCGAAAUGCGAUACUUGGUGUGAAUUGCAGAAUCCCGUGAACCAUCGAGUCUUUGAACGCAAGUUGCGCCCGAAGCCACUAGGCCGAGGGCACGCCUGCCUGGGCGUCACACGCCGUUGCCCCCCCAUCUACUCCUUCGGGAUUGCGGGGGGGCGGAUGAUGGCCUCCUGUGCGCCUAGCCGCGCGGUUGGCAUAAAUACCAAGUCCUCGGCGACGCACGCCACGACAAUCGGUGGUUGCGAAACCUCGGUUGCCCGUCGUGUGCGUUCGUCGCGCAUCGAGGGCUCGAAAAAAUGCUCGGCUCCGGUUGGUCUUUCAACGCGACCCCAGGUCAGGCGGGGUUACCCGCUGAAUUUAAGCAUAUCAAUAAGCGGAGGA